AGAGAUAGGGUACAUUCUGCUGCUACAAAAGUUGUGGAUGCUGGGCAGACCAAUAUCAAUCUCGGAUACAGUGCACCUGGACUAAGGUGGCAAGGAAGAAAUGCUAUAACACAAAGGCAACAUCAACAACAGUUGAGGAGAAGACAAACUGAAGCAAGCCUAAGCCAACCUCAAGUCCAUUCUUCAUCUCAGCCAAGCCAGACUCCAUCUCAUCAAAACCUCAACCAAUCUCAGCCUUAAAGCUAAAUGAAUGUUUGUUUUUGAGGUAACGUGCACCUGGACUAAGGUGGCAAGGAAGAAAUGCUAUAACACAAAGGCAACUUCAACAACAGUUGAGGAGAAGAC
rnacentral:lncRNA from 1 species